rnacentral:rRNA from 1 species
UACGGGGGGGAGCAAGCGUUGUUCGGAAUCACUGGGCGUAAAGGGAGUCUAGGCGGUUUGGUAAGUGGGAUGUGAAAUCCCCGGGCUCACCCCGGGACCUGCAUCCCAAACUGCUGAGCUUGAGUACAGGAGAGGGUGGGGGAAUUCCAGGUGUAGCGGUGAAAUGCGUAGAUAUCUGGAGGAACACCGGUGGCGAAGGCGCCCACCUGGCCUGCUACUGACGCUGAAGCUCGAAAGCUAGGGGAGCAAACGGG